GACGAACGCUGGCGGCGGGCUUAACACAUGCAGGUCGAACGCCCCGCCCGGGGUGUGGCGGGCGGGUGGGUAACGGGUCGGGACAGUAACAUUUCUACGACCUAGCCCUGGGAUUCUGGUAUUAUUACGGAAUUCGCGCUACGGGGGGAAAGUAUUUCGGGGAAGGAUGGGCGCGCGUUGGAUUAGCUGGUUGGUGGGGUAAAGGCCUACCAAGGCGACGAGCCGUAGCUGGUCUGAGAGGAUGAGCCGCCACAGUGGGGCUGCGACACGGCCCAAACUCCUACGGGAGGCAGCAGAGGGUAAUAUUGGACAAGGGGCGCAAGCCUGAUCCAGCCAUGCCGCGUAAGUGAUGAAGGCCGUAGUGUUGUAAAGCUCUUUCACCGAUGAAGAUAAUGACGGUAGUCGGAGAAGAAGCCCCGGCUAACUUCGUG
rnacentral:rRNA from 1 species